rnacentral:rRNA from 1 species
UACGGGGGGGGCAAGCGUUGUUCGGAAUUACUGGGCGUAAAGCGUGCGUAGGCGGUUUGUUAAGUCUGUCGUGAAAGCCCCGGGCUCAACCUGGGAAUGGCGAUGGAUACUGGCGAGCUAGAGUACGGUAGAGGAGAGUGGAAUUCCCGGUGUAGCAGUGAAAUGCGUAGAGAUCGGGAGGAACUCAGUUGCGAAGGCGGCUCUCUGGACCAGUACUGACGCUGAGGCACGAAAGCGUGGGGAGCAAACAGG